rnacentral:rRNA from 1 species
UACGUAGGGGGCAAGCGUUGUUCGGAUUUACUGGGCGUAAAGGGCGCGUAGGCGGCGCGUAAAGUCGGACAUGAAAUCAUUGGGCUUAACCCAAUGGCUGUGCCCGAUACUUGCGUGCUUAGAGUGCGGGAGAGGUAAUCGGAAUUCUCGGUGUAGCGGUGAAAUUCGUAGAUAUCGAGAGGAACUCCAGUGACGAAGGGGGGUUGCUGGACCGACACUGACGCUGAGGCGCGAAAGCUAGGGGAGCAAACGGG